rnacentral:rRNA from 1 species
GACGAACGCUGGCGGCGUGCUUAACACAUGCAAGUCGAACGGAAAGGCCCUGCUUUUGUGGGGUGCUCGAGUGGCGAACGGGUGAGUAACACGUGAGUAACCUGCCCUUGACUUUGGGAUAACUUCAGGAAACUGGGGCUAACACCGGAUAGGAGCUCCUGCUGCAUGGUGGGGGUCGGAAAGUUUCGGCGGUUGGGGAUGGACUCGCGGCUUAUCAGCUUGUUGGUGGGGUAGUGGCUUACCAAGGCUUUGACGGGUAGCCGGCCUGAGAGGGUGACCGGCGACAUUGGGACUGAGAUACGGCCCAGACUCCUACGGGAGGCAGCAGUGGGGAAUAUUGCACAAUGGGCGGAAGCCUGAUGCAGCAACGCCGCGUGCGGGAUGACGGCCUUCGGGUUGUAAACCGCUUUCGCCUGUGACGAAGCGUGAGUGACGGUAAUGGGUAAAGAAGCACCGGCUAACUACGUG